ensembl:rRNA 5S_rRNA 5S ribosomal RNA
CCUAGAUACCCUAUCACCCUGAGAAUACCAAAUCCCAUCUGAUCUUGGAAACUAUGCAGGAUCAGGCCUGGUUAAAUCUUGACUACCUGGGAAUACCAGGUGCUCUUGGC